UGGCAUUGUAUCGUGACCCAAAGGGAGAGUACGUCUUUAAGAAAAGUACACCUGAUGUUGGAAACAUUCAGCUUCAAAGUCUGAAUACUGAUAAAUCAAGCAGUGAUACUGUGGCAAGGAUGAGAGCUCGUGUCAAAGAGCUUGAAGAGAAAGUUGAUAAAUUGAGAAUGAAUGUCAGAAAAUUCAGUUUACCAGCUACAACUGAGAGUUUUGGCAUUGAAGAAGAAAAAGAACAUUAUCUGUAGUAGACUGUGUUUAUAGUAGCUAGUGAGAUCUGAGCAAUAGUUUUUGUUCUUAGUUAGUUAGUAUCUAGUUAUUAUGAAAAUAGCAAUAAAACUUUUA